rnacentral:rRNA from 1 species
CAGCGGAGGGAUCAUUAUAGAGUUUUAUAACUCCCAAACCCAUGUGAACUUACCUUUGUUGCCUCGGCGCAGCUACCCUGUAACUACCCUGGAGCGGCUAUUCUGUAGCUACCCUGGGGCGGAUACCCUGUAGCGGCCGACGGCCCAUUAAACUCUUGUUUUUUUAGUAUAUCUGAGUAUCUUAUUUUAAUAAGUUAAAACUUUCAACAACGGAUCUCUUGGUUCUGGCAUCUAUGAAGAACGCAGCGAAAUGCGAUAAGUAAUGUGAAUUGCAGAAUUCAGUGAAUCAUCGAAUCUUUGAACGCACAUUGCGCCCAUUAGUAUUCUAGUGGGCAUGCCUGUUCGAGCGUCAUUUCAACCCUUAAGCCUAGCUUAGUAUUGGGAAUCUACUGAAGGAGCUACCCUGUAGCCACCCUGUAGUUCCUUAAAGAUAACGGCGGAGACGUGGUGUCCCCUGAGCUUAGUAAUUUCUUCUAGCUUCUGGAGCGCUGCGGUUCUUGCCGUAAAACACCCAAAUUUUUAAUGGUUGACCUCGGAUCAGGUAGGAAUACCCGCUGAACUUAAGCAUAUCAAUAAGCGGAGGAAAAGAAACCAACAGGGAUUGCCUCAGUAACGGCGAGUGAAGCGGCAACAGCUCAAAUUUGAAAUCUGGCCUUCCGGUCCGAGUUGUAAUUUGUAGAGGAUGCUUUUGGUGCGGUACCUUACGAGUUCCCUGGAACGGGACGCCUUAGAGGGUGAGAGCCCCGUACGUUUGAAUACCUAUCCUCUGUAAAGCUCCUUCGACGAGUCGAGUAGUUUGGGAAUGCUGCUCUAAAUGGGAGGUAAAUUUCUUCUAAAGCUAAAUACCGGCCAGAGACCGAUAGCGCACAAGUAGAGUGAUCGAAAGAUGAAAAGCACUUUGAAAAGAGGGUUAAAUAGCACGUGAAAUUGUUGAAAGGGAAGGGUUCAUGACUAGACUUUUUCCUAGCGGAUCAUCCGGUGUUCUCAUCGGUGCACUUCGCUAGGUUUAGGCCAGCAUCGAUUUUCGGAGAGGGAUAAAAGCGGUGGGAAUGUGGCUCUCUUCGGGGAGUGUUAUAGCCCGCCGUAUAAUACCUUUCUGGGGAUCGAGGU